GACGUAGUUCAGUUGGUUAGAGCGUCAGAUUGUGGUUCUGAAUGUCGUGGGUUCGAGUCCCACCUUC
rnacentral:tRNA from 9 species